rnacentral:rRNA from 1 species
UAAGAUCACGGUUAGAUUAACCGUUUGAUAGGCGUUAAGUGUAAGUAUAGUAAUAUAUUCAGCUGAGACGUACUAAUAGAUCGAAGACUUGAUU